CGGGGCGGGGCAGGGUAAGACAGGGCGAGGUUGUGUGAGGCGGGGUGAGGCGAGGUGCGGUGGGGCGAGGUUAGGCGUGGCGGGGUGAGGCGGGGCGAGUCGGGGCGAGGCGAGGCGAGGCGGGGCGAGGCUAGGCGAGACGGGGCUAGGCGAGGCGGGGUGGGGCGAGAUGGAACGAGGUUGGACGAGGCAAGGUGAGGCGAGGCGUGGCAGGCAAGGCGGGGCAAGGCAAAGUGAGGCCAGGUGGGGUGGGGUGAGGUGGGGAGAGGCAAGGCGCGGCGAGGUGAGGCGGGGCAAGGCGAGGC
ensembl:lncRNA